rnacentral:rRNA from 1 species
CCUACGGGUGGCAGCAGUGAGGAAUAUUGGUCAAUGGACGAGAGUCUGAACCAGCCAAGUAGCGUGAAGGAUGACUGCCCUAUGGGUUGUAAACUUCUUUUAUAUGGGAAUAAAACGUUCCACGUGUGGGAUUUUGUAUGUACCAUAUGAAUAAGGAUCGGCUAACUCCGUGCCAGCAGCCGCGGUAAUACGGAGGAUCCGAGCGUUAUCCGGAUUUAUUGGGUUUAAAGGGAGCGUAGGUGGAUUGUUAAGUCAGUUGUGAAAGUUUGCGGCUCAACCGUAAAAUUGCAGUUGAAACUGGCAGUCUUGAGUACAGUAGAGGUGGGCGGAAUUCGUGGUGUAGCGGUGAAAUGCUUAGAUAUCACGAAGAACUCCGAUUGCGAAGGCAGUUCACUGGACUGCCACUGACACUGAGGCUCGAAAGUGUGGGUAUCAAACAGGAUUAGAUACCCUAGUAGUC